GUAAUAACGAAGCCUUAAAAUUUUGCAGGAAAAAAAAAACAACGAAAUUGACUCAGCCAUUGUAACAACAGCUUUUCUCGUUCCUGCGUUCGGAGUCCAAAGGUUAAAUAUUUCUGGAUCCUUGGACAGGACUCCGUCUCAGAAUCCAAUAUUUAAUUAAGUCCGAGUUCCCUGAGUGUCUCCGACUUCUUUCUCGUCGACCAUUACGAUAAUUCGCACGAUCCGAAUCCGGAUAAACAAGUCCAAGGGAUUUACUCCAUUGGCCCUUGGUAGUUCCUAGAUAGAGCUGAUCCUUCCUGGCCUUACUGUCUGCCUGGAUGCUUGCUUUUACUCACUGACUCCACUUCCAUCUCCAUCCUGCUCCUUCGUGAACAUCGUAGAGAUAAGCCGACGCCCUUCAUCUCAUCCUCUAACGGAAUCGCUCCCUAGUGCUACUGGCUACUACUACCAUUAAAACUAGUAUUCCUGAUGAUACUAACACUACUGGCUGGUACGAUAUCGGGUAGCGGCUGAACAGAAUGCUUGUCCUGAUGCAUCACGUCGUAUCGACUGUGACAAUGAGUAUUUCCAAAAUCUGAAAAUAACAAAGUAUACCUCGCACUGUAAAAUAUUUAAGUAAAGCAAAAAUACACAAUUGGAUGUUUCGGGAUAAUCAAAUAAUUGCUAAUGUAAAAAAGAGACACGAGGAAAUGGAUAAAUCCAAGAUGGAGUGGUCUAAUGAUCGUGUUGGCGGCGUGAGGAAAUUAAAUAGAUAACACUUGCCCUGAUGGGUUAGAACGAGGGGAGGUUAGAAAGGAUAAGAAGAGGAACCAUGGGAUCUUGCUAGGGUAUAAUGUUGAGGGUUUCGGUAGGUUCGAGUCUCGAGGAACGAAGGGAGUUAAGGUCGUAAUCGCAACCGAGCGAGACAAUUUUAUCCGCGUUUAACGCCGGCGAUAUAUAUUCCAAGUUUACCCGUCGACAGGACGAAGAUCCUUCCAUCCCGGCAUACUUGGUUGAAUAUCUUCAAGAUCGUAAGGACUCUUCUACGGCCUCUUCCUCUUCUUAUUCGCUUUCUCUUAGCGCGCUUCUCACGUCUCUUGCCACUUGUUCCUCUUCCUCCUGGCUUCACUGACUAUCUGCCUUAACAAAUCUACUGGCUGCUGUGAGUGAGCACUCUUUUCUCUCUCUCGCUCCUUAUACUGGCUCACUUCCAUUUUCCAAAGCUCUCCAUCCUUUUGCCUUAUACGAGUCUUAGCUUGGCGCAUCGAUGCGACCUAACCUCACUUACGGGACAGAGAGGUUCCCUUCGUUAUAUCUUAUACCUAUACUCCGUUCCUCUCGUUACGGCUGUUCCUUACGAUAAAGCGGACGCGAAGUCGAACUUAAAAAGGCGGGAAUUUCAAAAAUCACCAAUACCAUACGGAUGUCUAAGGUCGUACAAAUUGAAUUAUUAUAGUCCAGUUGUCUCAUGGACCCGAGGCAAUGUCCGUCGCGACGCGAAUGGUAUUAUUUUACUCGGCUUUCGGAGAUAUUUAAAUUGGAAUUUUCUUUCUCAUUAUAACUCAACCAAGAGGAAAAUCUGCUUCUCUGUCGACACUCUCUUUGAGUCUCUUCACUGUCUCUCUUUCUCUGUCUCUCAUUAUUAUAGAGGAUAA